rnacentral:lncRNA from 1 species
CCAGCUUCUUCUUUCUGAUCACUCUUCUUGCCUCAGGGUGAUGCCUACCCUGGACACCUAACUGCCCCCUCUCCAUUCUAAAACCCCUUCUCACAAAGGAAGGAUAAACAGACUCACAUUCAAGUUGCAAUCACAGAUGUGACACGGUUUAAUGUAUAUCGUUCUCAGAGGCAUUCUAGGGGAAAGGAACAAGUCAAAAACUCCAGGUGGCAAUGUCUGCUCUGCCGCUUAUGAUCGUGAGACUAACCCAGCACGACAAACCCUGAGCCCAGUUUCUCACCAGUGUCCUUUAUGAGAAGAUGCCCUCACUGACCAGAUCAGUUCCCAAUGCUGGCAAGGCUGUAUGGAGGUCUAUUGCAGGGAAAACUGUACACUUGUCCUGAUCUUCACCAUGCUCUGAAAUGAACCUGUGUGAACCCAGCGUGACAGAAGCAGGGACCACAAAAGUCUAAGGAAUUCAUGUGUUAGGACUUCUUCCAGUUCUAUACAAUUCAUUUUAUGAGAAGACAUGAUUGCCUUCCCGUUUUCAAGACACGCAACUCUAAAAUGGUGAACAAUGAACCUCGAAUAUUCUUUAAUUUCUGCAACAAUCUUCUGUAAAUCUUUAUCUCGAAAUGGCUUCCUAAAUCUACAUUUUUUUACAACUGCCGUGGUUCAACAUUUGCUUAGCAGGAACUCUAGGUCAGAGCUGUCCCUCAGCAUCUACGGGAUGGGGCCCCACCUGAUUUUAUUUCCUAACUUUCGAGCUGGCCUCAGAUACCCGUUUAUUCUUUGCUUCACAAAGAUGCUUAGAUAAAAGAUCUGAAGACUCUCUUCAAAGAUUCAAAAAGCUCCACUGUUUUGUGGGAAGAUGUCUGUGGUCAGAUAGGCAGGUGGAUCGGGCGCCUAGGGCCCGGAGGUAGAAGGAGGUGGCCGGAGGCGCUCAGGCCAGCGCCUCUCGCAUCUCUGAGGAGGGGCGCCGCCCAGGCGCUCGCGUUGCUAAGUCCUCUGUUUGCCGCGUUCUAAAGGAGCCCCGAGCGGGACCAAGGCAAACGGGGGGGGGGUGUGUGUGGCCCGGGAAAGCUCGAGCAGUGUCUUCAGUAAACCCCCAGAAGAGGCAGCGGCCCCUCCGUUGAUCCCUCCUGUCCCCAGGACCUCCUGA